CACCCCUCAAUCAGGAAGAGCUCGUGAUCAUCAAGAUGGAGGAAGAUGAGGCUGCCCCAUGGGAUCCUGAACCCCUGUCCAAUCCUCAGCCCUCAACCCUGCUGCCCAGACUCUAGGGACCCCCAGCAGCACCUCUGCAGCUUCCGCUAUGAAGAGGCAGCAGGGCCCCAAGAGGCCCUAGCCAGGCUACAAGAACUGUGCCGCCAGUGGCUGCGGCCCGAAGCACACCCCAAGGAGCAGAUGCUGGACCUAUUAAUGCUGGAGCAGUUCCUGGGUGUGUUGCCACCUGACACCCCGGUCUGGGUGGAGUCCCAGUGCCCUGAGAGUGGUGAGGAGGCUGUGGCGCUGGUGGAGGACCUUGCUCAGAUGAUGCAGGAGACUGGUUUGGGGGCCCAGGAGCCUGCCCUGCAGCCUCCUUCAGCUCCUGGUUUUGAGGGUGGGAAGAUCCCUCUGAAGAGGCCGCCCAGGGUAAGCCAGCGCCAAAGCACCGAGGGGGUCCGCAAGGCUAUCAACCUGCAGGUGAAGCUUGAGAUGUUGCGGCGCUUCGAAGCCGGAGAGAAGCUUAGCAGAAUUGGGAAGGUGUUGGGGCUGUCCACCUCCACUGUGGCUACCAUUUGUGACAACAAGGAGAAGAUCCGAGCGAGUUCCCAGGCGGCCACCAGAUUGACGCGCAGCUGCAGCCUGGUGAUGGAGAACAUGGAGCGGCUGCUAAGCGUGUGGAUCGAGGACCAGAACCAGCGCAAUGUGCCCAUCAGUGUCCUCCUCAUCCAGGAGAAGGCUCGCAGCCUGUUUGAGGACCUCAAGCGGGAGCAGGGUGAGGGUGCCCAAUCGGAGACCUUCGGGGCUAGUUGAGGGUGGUUUACACGGUUCAAGGCCCGACACAGCCUGCCUGGUCUUGGGGUGGGUGUCGAGGUUACGGGCACAACUGCGGCAGCCAUGCACAGGUACCCUGCCCUUCUGCGGAGAGUGAUCCAGGAGGGCGGCUACACACCCCAGCUGGUGUUCAACGUGGAUGGGACUGGACUUUUCUGGAAGCGACUGCCUGCCAGGAUGCUCCUUUCCCUGGAGGAGAAGUCAGCCCUGGGGUGCAGAGCUGCCCGAGAUCUCCUGACGCUGCGGCUUGGUGGCAGUGCAGCUGGAGACCUCAAGCUGAAGCCGCUGCUGCUGUAUCCCUUGGAGAACCCGCGUGCUCUCAAGGGCUGCUCCAGACCCAACCUGCCUGUGGUGUGGCGUUCACACAAGAAAGCCUGGGUGACCACGAGCAUCCUCCAGGAGUGGUUUGUGCACUUCUGCCCAGCUGCGGAGAGGGACUGUGCCUGGUACGGCCUCCCGUACAAAGCCCUGCUCAUCCUGGACAGUGCCCCUGGCCACCCUGGGAACCUGGAUGACCUCUCGGACCACGUGCGUGUGCUGUACCUGCCCAAGAAAACCAUGGCCCUUGUCCAGCCCAUGAACCAGGACAUUGUUGCCACCUUCAAGGCCUGCUACCCACGGACGGUCUUCCGCCUGUUGGCGUUGAGGGUGGGAGGCAGGGACCAGCAGUCGGUGGUCCUUGACUUCUGGCGAGACUACAGCGUUCUUGAUGCUGCCUACAACAUCUCUGAGUCCUGGGAGGAGGUCCCGCCAGCUACCCUGAAUGGGGGGUGGAGGAAGCUGUGGCUCGAGGGCAUCCAGCAGGAUGCCAACAGGCUGCACGUAGCAACUCUACCGCAGAUCCUGCAGGACAUCCUGGCACUGGCCCAUGGUGUGGGUUUUAGAGAGGUGACCAAGGCAGAUGUGGUGGAGCUUCUGCAGAGCCACGGGCGGGCCUCUCCAUUGAGGAGCUGA